AACGCGAAGAACCUUACCUACUCUUGACAUCCACGGGAGCUAGCAGAGAUGCUGGUGUGCCUUCGGGAACCGUGAGACAGGUGCUGCAUGGCUGUCGUCAGCUCGUGUCGUGAGAUGUUGGGUUAAGUCCCGUAACGAGCGCAACCCUUAUCAUUAGUUGCCAUCGGGUAAAGCCGGGAACUCUAGUGAGACUGCCGGUGACAAACCGGAGGAAGGCGGGGACGACGUCAAGUCAUCAUGGCCCUUACGAGUAGGGCUACACGCGUGUUACAAUGGACGGUACAAAGGGCAGCGAAGCCGUGAGGUGGAGCGAAUCUUAGAAAGCCGUUCGUAGUCCGGAUUGGAGUCUGCAACUCGACUCCAUGAAGUUGGAAUCGCUAGUAAUCGUGGAUCAGAACGCCACGGUGAAUACGUUCCCGGGCCUUGUACACACCGGAGUGC
rnacentral:rRNA from 1 species